rnacentral:rRNA from 1 species
GAUGAACGCUAGCUACAGGCUUAACACAUGCAAGUCGAGGGGCGGCGCAGUGUAGCAAUACAUGGGCGGCGACCGGCGCACGGGUGCGUAACGCGUAUCCAACCUUCCCGUUACUCAGGGAUAGCCUUCCGAAAGGGAGAUUAAUACCUGAUGGUGUUUGAAAUUCGCAUGUUCUUCAAACUAAAGAUUUAUCGGUAACGGAUAGGGAUGCGUGACAUUAGAUAGUAGGUGGGGUAACGGCCCACCUAGUCUACGAUGUCUAGGGGUUCUGAGAGGAAGGUCCCCCACACUGGAACUGAGACACGGUCCAGACUCCUACGGGAGGCAGCAGUGAGGAAUAUUGGUCAAUGGUCGGAAGACUGAACCAGCCAAGUAGCGUGAAGGAUGAAGGUUCUAUGGAUUGUAAACUCUUUUAUACGGGAAUAAAACCUCCCACGUGUGGGAGCUUGUAUGUACCGUAUGAAUAAGCAUCGGCUAACUCCGUGCCAGCAGCC